rnacentral:rRNA from 1 species
CCUACGGGAGGCAGCAGUGAGGAAUAUUGGUCAAUGGGCGAGAGCCUGAACCAGCCAAGCCGCGUGAGGGAUGACGGUCCUAUGUAUUGUAAACCUCUUUUGUAGGGGAACAAAGGCGUCUACGUGUGGACUGAUGAGUGUACCCGAAGAUAAAGCAUCGGCUAACUCCGUGCCAGCAGCCGCGGUAAUACGGAGGAUGCGAGCGUUAUCCGGAUUUAUUGGGUUUAAAGGGUGCGUAGUCGGAUUGUAAAGUCAGCGGGAAAAACGCGGGGUUCAACGCCGAACAGCCGUUGAAACUGGGAGUCUUGAGUGGGGGAGAGGUAAGCGGAAUGCGUGGGGGAGCGGUGAAAUGCAUAGAUAUCACGCAGAACUCCGAUUGCGAAGGCAGCAUACUGGCGCCCUACUGACGCUGAGGCACGAAAGCGUGGGUAGCGAACAGGAUUAGAUACCCUAGUAGUC